CGAUGCCCCCGACCGCCUCCCCGCCGUGACAGCCGCCUCGACGUCCUCACCACGGCUCACGAUGCCCCCCGUCAAUCUAUCGUCUGUGUCCCCCUUCCUCCCUGCGUCUCCCUCUCAUCCUCUAUCGCAGUCAGCUCCUCAGCGAGAUCCACGACCGGGUCUCCUCCUCGGCGAGAUCCAUGGCCGGGCAAGCCCAUCCUGCCCACGCUGCUCUCCAUGGAAUAGCGGUCCCAGCAGAUCUCCUCUCCCCCGCGGUCCACUCCCCCAACGAGCUGCUCUCCAUGGAACACCGGGGUCGCGGUCUCCUACUCGGCGAGAUCCAUGGCUGGCGUCCUCCUCUGCUGCUGAGCCCACCUCCCGCAUCUCUGAUCGAGGCUCUGCUCGAUUCGGUGCUUCGUUGUGUCCAUGGGUGGUUUCAGCUGGGCCUCUGGAGUAAGUGAUGGAUUUAAAGAUGAGUUAUCCACCGGCAAGCCCCUACUGAAAUUUGCCUCCAGAUUAACUAAAUUAGAUAUCCAAUCCUCUCCAUCGAUCCCUGUUGGUCAAAGGAGGCAAGGCAAAAGACCUAAAGAUUAUUUAUUAUCAUCAUUGUUAUUAUUAACCAAACAACAAUAUAUCUUUCAGUAAUCGCUGAAAGACUUCAGAAACUGAUUGGAGGAGGCCGGUGCGCAUGCAGGCGGUGGACAACCUGACGCUGCGUCGGUUCCUGCGCGCGCGCGACCACGACGUGGACAAGGCCUCCGCCAUGUUCCUCAAGUUCCUCAAGUGGCGGAGGGAGGCGGCGCCCGGCGGCUCCGUGCCGGAGGAGCAGGUGAGGAGGGAGCUGUCGCAGGACAAGCUGUGCAUGGGCGGCGUUGACAGGGCCGGCCGCCCCAUCCUCGUCGCCUUCGCGGCCAGGCACUUCUCCGCCGGCCAUGACAUGGCAGAGUUCAAGAGUUUUGUUGUCUACUUCUUCGACAAGAUCUGUGCCAGAAUCCCCAGAGGGCAGGAGAAAUUCCUCUGCAUCGUUGAUCUCAAGGGCUGGGGUACUCAAACUGUGACGUCCGGGCAUACAUUGCCGCUAUAGAGAUCUUGCAGUAUUUCUACAGGUUAACAAGGUACAUACAAAGAAGGCGGCUGCUCCCAAGAUUGCUAAACAAGAGUCCAGUGAUGAUGACACUAGCGACGAGACCUUUGAAUCUGAUGAGUUGCAAAAAAUGGUUCGAAGACGGUCAAGCAAGAGAGCAGCAGCGAUGAGGACAGUUCUGAAGAUGAGUCGGAUGACGACAGUGAUGAUGUGAGUUGAAGUUUCCUCGGCGUCCCUGCAUCGCUUCCACCAGCCCUCCCCACACGCGGCGACAGGGUCGUCGUCGUCCCGGCUCCGCGUCGGCCACACCCGAACGAUCGUCUCCAUGUCGUGUCGUCUCCAGUUAUGCGAGCGAGGCUGGAUAAGGUCGUGGGGUUCCAACAAGGUGGUGCAGCUCCAUUCGUCCCUCCACCUCACCCGCCGGCCAUCUCUCGAUUCCUUUUUGUGUGCUCAGUUUUUUCUUUGUGUGUCAUGAGUUUCAGAACUUGAUUGGGAUGGUUUUUGUGCCAUGAGAA